rnacentral:rRNA from 1 species
UACGUAAGGGGCGAGCGUUGUUCGGAUUUAUUGGGCGUAAAGGGCGUGUAGGCGGUUCUGUAAGCUUGGUGUGAAAGGCUAAGGCUUAACUUUAGGAUUGCGCUGAGAACUGCAGGGCUUGAGUGUAGGAGGGGGAUACGGAAUUCCUGGUGUAGGGGUGAAAUCUGUAGAUAUCAGGAAGAACACCGGUGGCGAAGGCGGUAUCCUGGCCAUACACUGACGCUGAGGCGCGAAAGCGUGGGGAGCGAACAGG